rnacentral:lncRNA from 1 species
UUGCCUCUUCUAUGCAGAUGGGAGAAACAAUUAAUGGAAGGUUAUGCUAUGGAUUUAGGAUUUGUUUUCAUUCGUGGUGUUUGUUCUGCAGAAUUGGUGAAUUUGGAUAUUUUUCUUUCUUCGUAUUUUUUUCUCUUUUCAUGGAUGAGUACGAUUUUAGUCUUUGAAAGAUGGCAGUAGACUGAUUUUGGUGGAAGGACGAUGCAAUUGUGUGGUGAUUUGUUUGUUGCGUAAACACUUGAGUUAUCAGUAAUUGUGUAAAUAUUAAUUGCAGUUUUUUCUCUGAGGGUAUGUUAGCCAACCAAAAAGCUAAAGCAUCUCAAGCUACCUGACUGGCAAUUCAAUUCAGUGAUGUUAUAUUGCAUUACACAAUAUUCAUAGUUUCUUAGUUUAUCAGUAAAUCUAAUGCAUAUUUUAGUGCUUUGAUUAAGAAUAUUCUUUAGCUAAACUUUAGAGAGGAUAGAUUUUGACCAACUUUAUCUCUCAAAAGUAUCAAUCAUGUGUGGAAGAGGUUUGUGGUUAUGAAAGCUCAAAUUCAGAUGAAGUGCAUCAAGUUACUGCUAUGGUUGAUUUCAGUUUUGAAAUUGAUUCUUGUCAGGCUUAUUCUUACUCUCAUGUUGCUCUGAUUUUGCAAAUGAUUUCCAUUCAGAUGUUUCUAUUAGGUUUGCCCCUCUUGACAUCAAGAUUGGUACAAUGAUCAAGGAAAACAAAAAGGACACUUGAAAUCAUCCAAAGCUAAUAGCCAUCCAGGUAAUUUUCUAGCUUACAUUCAAGUUUAAGAAGAAUCUAGGGCUGGUUGAAGCAUUGGAGUAGGUGUU